GGACUACUCGGGUAUCUAAUCCCGUUUGCUCCCCUAGCUUUCGCGCCUCAGCGUCAAGAACAGGCCAGGAAGUCGCCUUCGCCACUGGUGUUCCUCCCGAUAUCUACGCAUUUCACCACUACACCGGGAAUUCCACUUCCCUCUCCUGCCUUCGAGUCGAACAGUAUCGAAUGACCCUCCCCAGUUGAGCCGGGGGCUUUCACAUUCGACUUAUCUGACCGCCUGCGCGCUCUUUACGCCCAGUAAAUCCGGACAACGCUUGCCACCUACGUAUUACCGCGGCUGCUGGCAC
rnacentral:rRNA from 1 species